AUUUUAAUUGCUUUUUUUUUUUUUUUGCUUUUUAAUCUUACAAACAACAAAAAUCGUUUUCGUAGUAAACAUUUUUAUAGGAUUUGAAUUGCAUUAACGUUUGGCAAGUAGUGGAUUGAGCGCUCUUAAUGUGCUUUCCAAAUCAAAGGCUGUGCUCUUUGAAGAAGGUGUGUGAUUGGGGUCUGUUCCAUGUAUAGAAUCUCCAGAUGUCUAUAAAACAAGAAGGGGCAUUUGGCAGGUCACGUGAAGGGGGUGCAGGUUAAAAUCACUUGCACAAAAGUCCCUUUUUUACAACUGAACAGUCUUCCAUUUAGAAGCCAAAUGCAGGAAAGCUCACAGACAUAUUUCCAGUGCUUGUAGGUAUUAAGAUGCAAAACACAUUAGCAUAAACAACCUAAAUUCUAACUGAUUGACUGCCUGUGUUAUUAACCCUUUACUGACCAAUGGUGUAUCAGACAUGUAAUGCCUAU